ACUGGGUGUGGAGGUGCACGCCUGUAAUCCCAACUGCUUGGGAGGCUGAGGCAGGAGGAGCACGAGUUUCAGACCAGUGGCAGCCAUUUAAUGAAGCCCUAAGCAAUUUAGUGAAACCCUGUCUCAA
rnacentral:sRNA from 1 species